UACGAAGGGGGCUAGCGUUGCUCGGAAUCACUGGGCGUAAAGGGUGCGUAGGCGGGUUUUUAAGUCAGGGGUGAAAUCCUGGAGCUCAACUCCAGAACUGCCUUUGAUACUGAAGAUCUUGAGUCCGGGAGAGGUGAGUGGAACUGCGAGUGUAGAGGUGAAAUUCGUAGAUAUUCGCAAGAACACCAGUGGCGAAGGCGGCUCACUGGCCCGGUACUGACGCUGAGGCACGAAAGCCAGGGGAGCGAACGGG
rnacentral:rRNA from 1 species